rnacentral:misc_RNA from 1 species
CCGAGUUUACAACUCCCAAACCCCUGUGAACAUACCACUUGUUGCCUCGGCGGAUCAACCCGCUCCCGGUAAAACGGGACGGCCCGCCAGAGGACCCCUAAACUCUGUUUCUAUAUGUAACUUCUGAGUAAAACCAUAAAUAAAUCA